rnacentral:rRNA from 1 species
UUUUUAUGCGAGAGUUUGAUCCUGGCUCAGGAUGAACGCUGGCGGCGUGCUUAACACAUGCAAGUCGAGCGACGCACUUUGGUUAGACUCUUCGGAUGUAGACUUUAGUGGCUGAGCGGCGGUCGGGGGAGGAACGCGUGGGUAACCUGCCU